AUACCUUUCUCGGCCUUUUGGCUAAGUCAAGUGUAGUAUUCUGUUUUAUCAGUUUAAUAUCUGAUACGUGGGCUAUAAGUCCACAUGAUAUUAAAUUAAUUUUUUCAGGGGGAGUGCCCACAACAAUAGCUUGCUAUUAGGGCCCUCAAGUGUCGCCCGUGCUUUGCACUACUGCGUGGGCCUGGCGCACCCCAC